GCAAUCAAAUCGAUUCUUCUCAAAAUUCCAUUUAGGUGUUCAAAAACUUUGAAGUUGCUGUUGAUUGUAGCUGGCUAAUCGAGGGAGUUGUCUUUUCACGAACAGAGAUAUCUCUUGGUUAUGUAGUAGUAUAGGUAUUUGUAAGGUAGAAUCAAUAAAUAUAAGUCCCGUUGCUUCCUUUCGGCCAUCCAUAUUCGGGAUAGCUCAUCUGCAGAGUUUUCAUCGGUUGGCAUCCAUUUGAUAUUCUGGGAGAUUGCAGUAAAGUUUUUGAGUCCUAGUUUGAGCAGUAUUAGCGUGAUUACUAUCUCGAUGUAAGGAGAUCUUGAGAUUUAUUUUCUAAAGGUAUAGUAAGCCACAGUAGAAUCUGUAAAUAUUAUCGGUAUAUUGAUAUAUUUGUGUAUCGCCAUGAUGGCACCGAUGCCUACUGCGAGUACCUCCUUUGCAUUAAUAUGUUCAAUAGCAUGUGAUGGGACAUUAUACAGGAGGCAGUCCUGGAAAGGUACUGACAUAUUAUCGAUAUCCCAAAAAGAUAUUCCGAUAUGUGAUCCGAAAGCGUCCUUAUAUACUGGGUUGCGUGCAUGAUAUCUGAUGCUAAGCAAAACCUUCAUUGCUUCGAUGAUAGCUAAUGCUUUUUGGAAGGCUAGGUAUGUGUCUAUUAUAGGUGUUAGUUGACUCUCGUUCAUGGUGAUGUAGAAUGGCGAGAAUAAUCUAGACAUCUUUAUGAUGGUGCAUGAGUAGUGAUUUACUACUCCUAAUACUUUGCCUGCGAGGAGACGACCUAAUUCUAGGUGUUGAUAUGCAUGUCGUCUAAAUGCCUCCAGGCAUUUCUCGAGCCUUUUUCUCGUAUUUGUGUCUGCGCUGAUGGUCUUCGCUUGAAGGUCGAUCGGGAUUUCUAGGUAUGUUAUUUGCGGUGUAGGGUCCAAUACGGAUUUUUCUUGUGAGAUCUCUAAGCCCCAUUCUUCAAAAGUACAACUCAGGGAUAUUGUGGACCAUUUAACGCCAUUUGCAUUAUCGCCGUCGAUUAAUAUGUCGUUCAGAUAGACGUUAUAGUGAGCUCUCCUUACUGUCUUUGCGCACGCACAGAAUAAUGGAUUGGAGACUGUAUGGACAGAAGGACGCUCCCAUGUGGAGGACUCUUUAUGCGUAGUUCGUGCCAUUUAUGUUGAAUCCGAAGAAUUUUCUUACCUGCUGUGCUAACGGGAUUGAGAAAAACGUGGUUUUAAUAUCUAUUUUACAUGCGUAUUUGGCUUUGUCUAAAUUUCCUGACAUGAAUGGGAUGGAUUUGAGGCGGAAUGGGUAGUGCAGGAAGUUCUUUGAUACCUCCGAAAAAUCACUGAUAACUCUAGGUGCACCAUUUUCUUUGGGGAUAACAUAAAGCGGUGAACAGAUUUGAUUUGCAUCCGAUGGUUCUAUAAUAUCCGCUUCGAGCAUCUGGCAAACGAUGUCUCUGUAUCUAUUGGAAAUAGGGAAGUUAUUGUUGUGUGUUAAGUAAUGAUUAAUAUUUUGACUGAUUUUAAGGUGGUCUAGUCUAGAGCAAAAUCCUCUUGUCGCGACCUUUCUGGUAAAUCUGGACCUCAGCGGCCCGGGCGUCAGCCUUGCUCUGCUGAUGUAUAGACUGGGCUGUGCGCAGAGUUGCACAUCCAUGAAAGUCGCUCACGUACCAGAAUCAUUAUCGUUGUUGAUUGAAUCCUUGAGUUCGAAGAUGAUGGAUCUGACUCCGCUAUCACCGCUGCUGCUGGAGGACCACGAGGUUGUGGUAGCAUCUGGAAUCCACCAUUCGGGGAUUCCUGAGUCUUCGGACAGGAAUAACGGGACGUCCGACUCCGAGUCAGCUUUGCGACUGGCAGGCAAUGGAUUCGGGAAGGCAGGGGAAGUAGGUUGAUUAUUAUUAUUGUCAUUUUAGCUGCCGGAAUUCCUGCCAUUAUUUGAUGCCUCAGUUCCCUAAGGUGAGCAUUUAUUGUUUUUAGGCAGUCUGAGUACUUCGCUGGCUCUCCUCUUCUAGCCGGAGGGCCGUUGCCCGGACAAGUACUCCCCGUGGGUGCUUGUGAUUGUAGCCCUAAAAGGAGUUGUUGGGUAUUAGGUGGCCCUAAAAAGGGCCGUUGGGUAUUGGGGGGAUUAGAGAUUAGCAAAGAAGGAAGAAAUAAUUCGGUGUAGGAGAUUUGCUAGGACUAUUUCCUUUCUUGUCCCUGGCGGCGAGCGUCUCCUUUUUAUCCGGUCGUCUGCGAUAUGAUGCAGAGGGGCCUACCCGACUCUUCGGGCCGUGCCUCAUAACAAUUUUGAUUAAAUAUGAAGCAGGUUCCCAACAAUAAUAUUAACAUAAAUAUUGAAUUACCGAUAUCAGGCAAUAGCGAUCUUUUUUUAAGUAGAUUCGAAAACAUAUUCAAGAUACCCAGAUAUCGGGCAUCCAAAAAGCUGGAUCCUUCACAAAAAGGCUACCAGACGAAGAAUAUAUCAAGCUCAAAGAUAUGUUCACCUACCGACUUCAUCAAUCCAUCGAUAUUGAUUGAAAAAUUCAGAUUAUUACACCCGAAAGAUGAAACAACCAUGAAACAUUUAGAAAGGCAAAGAGGUAAAACAGAAGAAAAUAAUCAGAUGAUGAGAUAUGGAGACCAUGACGAAUGACAAAAUUUACAAUCUAAUUACAAUAACAGACAACGAUGGACAACAAGAGGCCAAGACUUUCAAAGAAAUAAUUAUCAAGGAAAUAGUUACAACCCUAGAUAUCAGAAAAUGCGAGUUAUUACAACAACGUCAGGGCAAACUACCCAGGAUCGUAGAAUAAUUUUUCAAGAUUUGAUAAUAAAACUAGUUAUAAUAACAAUAACUAUAAUAACUAAUAUUGAUUAUAAUUAAAGAUAUAACAUACAUUAUAAAGAUUCAAGAUUUAUUCAAAGACAUAACAAUAAUCAUAAUAUUGGAAAUCAAGGAAGAAAUCAAGUAUGCAAUUGUAGAUAUCAUAACAGCGAUAAUAAUCAAUCACGAUACACAAACAAAGUAAACACUGUAAAUAUAGAAGAGAUAAAAGAAGAUGAUAAUGAUAAAUUAGAGAAAAGAGAAUAUAAUUUAUAUAAUCUGGACAUAAAAAAUAUGGAUGCCGAUAAUGGUAACACAGCUAAUGAUGCAUAUAAAGUUACAGUAUAUUUGAAUGACGUGUCUAUAUUAAUGAAGAUAGAUAACGGUUUUAGAUUCAGCAUCCUACCGAUACAUAUUGCAAGAAAGAUUGAAAUAAAAAUCUUAAAUAAAUCAGAUACAAAAUUAACUGGAUAUAAUGAAAAAUGAUAAAAGUAUUAGGUACUGUCCAAGUCAAGGCAAAAUUCGAGGAUAAAACUCAAAUCUUAAAUGCUAAUGUGGUCCAAAGUGACAAGAUUUCACUUUUGGGAAGGACCUGGAUAACAGUUUUUAGAAAUAUUUUAGAUAAAUUUGUGAAUUUAAUUGAGGAAGAUUAUGAUAAUACUAUACAAGAAUUAAUACCGCAAACGAAUACAGAAGAGAUGGUACAAAAGAUAGAUGGUAAAAUGAUGACAAAUUUUGGGACAUACCAAUAAAUUUUAAAAGAAUAGUUAAAGAGACUAGUAUAGAUAACGAAUUAAUGGAAGUAAUCAACAAUAUAAAUAAUCAUGAACAGAUAAAGAAUAAAACAAAAAAUAUGGAGUUAGAACUGAGUUUAAUUAAAGAUUGUCUUUUAUAGAAAAUAAUACCACAAAAUAUGAGAAACGAGAUGUUGCAAGAGUUGCAUAAAGGGCAUCUAGGUGCUGGGAAAACAAAUUCAUUAGCGAGAGAUUAUUUGUGGUGGCCUGGUAUAAAUGCAGAAAUAGAUCGGGAGGUAAAAAAUUGUGAUACAUGUAAUAAAUAUGCAGACAAUCCUCAUAUAUACAAAACCCAUGGGAAACAACAACAAAAAUUUCAAACGCGUGCACAUAGACUGCGCAAUUUGAAGAUAACAAUUUUAUGAUAUGUGUUGACGCAUUUAGCAAAUUCCCUAUUAUUAGAAGAAUUAAAAACAUAACUGCUGAAUCAACAAUUAAAGAAUUGAUGAAAAUAUUCAGCUUAUUUGGUAUAACAAAAUAGUCAGUGAUAAGGGAACUAACUUUACUGGUAACCUAUUCAAGAAUUUAAGAUCAUAAAAUUGAACACAUACACACUACACGUCACCUCCAAAAGUCCAAUGGUCAGUGUGAGCGAAUGAUAAGAUCAAUCAAAAUGAGCAUGAAAAGGAAUAUGGAAAGUUUCCAAAACUUGGCAGCUGCGAUUGAAGACAUACCUGCCCGAUCCUUCUGUAAAUCGUGCAGGAAUUUGAGUGCAUGAAUACGAAUUUCAUGAACAAAUUAUUAUUGAAACAACAGGAUGUGAAAUAUAUAAAUUAAAUAAUUUCUCGAUAUUUACAGAUCUUUCUGUUAAAACAUAUUUUUUAAAAGCAGCAAUUAAAGAAAGAAAAAU